rnacentral:misc_RNA from 1 species
UCCUGGUUAACCCAGGCAGUCUCGUCAGAGUGCCCAACUUAAUGCUGGCAACAGACGAUAGAGGUUGCGCUCGUUGCGAGACUUAACCCAACAUUUCACAACACGAGCUGACGACAGCCAUGCAGCACCUCUCACUACAUUUCCUUGCGGACACUCCGACCAUUACGCCGGAUUCGUAGGAGUUCAAGCCUAGGUAAGGUUCUGCGCGUUGCUUCGAAUUAAACCACAUAAUCCACCGCUUGUGCGGGCCCCCGUCAAUUUGUUUGAGUUUUAGCCUUGCGGCCGUACUUCCCAGGCGGAGCACUUAAUGCGUUAGCUACGUCACCGGGGGAGUCAAUACCCCCAAUAACUAGUGCUCAUCGUUUACGGCGUGGACUAC